AUAAAAGGAAGGAAAAGAAGAAGAAAAGUUUCAUUUUACUUUUCUUCUUCCCUUCCCUCCACCGCCAAGGUUUUCUCCAUCCAUUUCUACCACUUUCUUCACCAUUUCUGCACCAACUUUCAGAGAAAUUUCAAAGGGAAGAAGGCUGAGAAAGUAAGAAGAAGAAGUUCAAGAAAUUUUGUUGAAGAAAGACAAGGGAAUUGCAAGCAAAGCUUCAUCCUUGGCAAAAAUUGAUUCACACAGCACACCUCUAAUGUUCUAUUGAUUUUGAGCUACAAAAAAAGAAUUAAGAGGCCAAGAGAAAAUAGGUCGAAUUUACACAUCGGAAAACUAGUACAAGACUGUAGAGAUCGAGUUCCCGGUGCCUGAUAGACUGCCUUAGUUUGCUGAAGUUUCGAUAUUGAUUGCCAGUACGUGGUUAGAGUUGUGCAUAGAGUCUGUUGUACUACAAUGUAUAUAUCUUUGUAUGAUAUAGAUACUUCACAAUUUGUGUAAGUUUUAGGAGCUGCGGUUGUAUAAACCUUUGUUGGUUAUAUUUUAGUUAAGGUGUCUCUAAGUUUACUUGUGAAAUUAGUUAUUUUCGAGAUACAUUUCAUGCAUGUAUAUGAUUAGUCUAGGAUUCGUUACGUUGUGUGCAUGUUUAAUUGUUUAUAUAUGAGGUUGGCAAGUUCAUCAUAUUAAAGUUUUAAGUAGAGUCGACAGAUACAUGUAAAGAAAAGCGUUGUCCAUCGACUUCACGCCAUCUUUCAGACUAAGCUAGUA